rnacentral:lncRNA from 1 species
UGUCGGUUUAUAUUUAGUCAGGAAGAAAAGAUAAAUGUGAAAUUUCCGCAGAUAAAUGUCAAGUUUCCGCGGAUAAUCAUGAAGAUCGAGAAAAAUGGAAUAUCUUCAUUUUCGAGUUAUGAAGGCUUAAGGGAGUAUAUAAGGAGUCCCAUGCGUGAGGCACAAAGAGAGAACUUUUUCACAGCAAACAUAGCACUUAGAGCAAUUAGGCAACUUCUGCUUUUGUUAUUUCGAGCUGCGACUCAACUAGGUUUUGCAGUCAUGGUUAUUAGAACUAGGGAACUCGCCGACAGCUCUUGUAGCCGAGGCUCCUACCUUGUUGUAAACGUUCAUACCCAAAUUCGGAAUAAGACUUAUUUUUGCUCUCUUUUUACGAUUUCUUAUUUUUCUCGUCUGUAUUUCGUGUUCUGAUUGUUUGGCAUGUGGUUUAGGAGAUAUUCGGGACCUCUGGGAAAUUAGGGUUUCCUAACUUUCCUAAUUUAAACGAAAAUCGAAAGUACGAAUUCCGGUUCCCACAGUAACGCAACAAGAGCAUCCUCAGACGUUUCUCGAACCCUUCUAGGCAUAAAUUUUGUACAUGCCCACCAAUCGUUGGCUGAUGUAUGUCGUACCCGCGGAUAAGGAAUAAAACAAACUUGAUCACAAUUACUAGAUAAGAUAAAUGGAUCAUAUUUCUCAUACUGCCAGCGCGGAGACACAUCAACGAUU